rnacentral:lncRNA from 10 species
GAAUAUUGUGAUGUUAUGCUGUUUUUGUUCCAUCCAUGGCAAUUUUAUGAGGCAGAUAUGACUCCCCCAACUUUAUGGAUGAGGAAAGUGCAGCUCGGAUAGAAGGCCACACUGUGGGUGGAACUCCUAGGAAGCUGGUAUGACAGAGAGGACAUGGCCUUACCCUAAGGGGAGAAACAUAGGCAUGCUUUGCAAAAGGUCUGAGGGAAGACACAAGGAGCUCCCCCGAAAAGUAAGUCUGAUGAGGGAGUUACACCCAUGCUUUGGAAAGUCUAAUCUGAGGGGGACGUGGACCCUUCCAUGUGAAGACCCAAUCAGAGGGGGAAGCUGUGACCCUUUCUUGGGCACUGUGACCUGAGGAGAGAUGUGAUCCCACUUAGAAAACCCCCAUUCAUCAGGCCUCCCUUGAUCAGUGGAGGUCAGCAGCCAUGGGCCUGGGUCCUAAGGCACCUUCAGCUCUCGGGAGGACCUGCCAGCACAGGGCACAAGGCCACAUCUGUCUGCAGGAAGCUGCUACUCAGACAGGGCCAGAAGGGAUGCCAGGCACAGAGCCAGAAUCCCAAAGCACCCAGCCUGGGCUUUGCCCACAGCUGGGACCCAGAGCCAUCAAAUGACUAUGAGAGUGCCUAGUCAGUGGGUGCUUAUUCAUAUCUGCUGGGUGGUAGUGCCUCCAGUUCUGCAGUCCUCUCUUCCUGUAGCUGGGGCCUCUUGUUCUCUCACCUGUGG